rnacentral:tRNA from 1 species
ACCUGGGAGGCUCAGUCAGUUGAGCGUCUGACUUGGGCUCAGGUCAUGAUCUCACAGUUUGUGGGUUCAAACCCCACGUCAGGCU